UACGAGAGUUUGGAAUGGCUUGUGUCGUUUAUCACAGCAUUUGUAGACGAUGUAGUAGUUUUGGAACCAUUAACUAUUGUAAUUUUUGCCGUGAUAAUUACUUUUAUACUGAAGCGACCAGUCAAGAUUGGGGAUGCACCACCACAGAUUGUGCAAGGAAAUGAAGACUCGUUAGACGAUCAGUACGUGUCAAAAAGAACACAGAAACAGAAUAGCAUACCCGAUCACGUUCCUAAAAAGUAUCUUAAGCAAAGGAAACAGGAAAGUGAGUUGACAGCGAGACUGCAAACAAAAACUCAGGACAUCAUUCUAUUUUUGAUAUUCAUUACUGUUAUGUUAUUGGUUGUCCACAAUCAUCGUCCUGUUGAACAAUGUUUUCAGCAGUCACAAACUGUCAACAAUAUGUUCAUCAAGAAGAAAUUUGACUUUGUAAAAACGCGCACUGACAUGUGGAAUUUUAUCAAUGAAAGUGUAGUCACGCCAUUAAACAGAACUUUACCAUUUGACAAGUCAAAGAAAAAUCCAGAAAAUGAUUUCUUACUUUUAGGAACAUUGCGUCUACGCCAGAUAAGAGUUG